UACGUAGGUUGCAAGCGUUGUCCGGAAUUAUUGGGCGUAAAGAGCUCGUAGGCGGUCUGUCGCGUCGUCUGUGAAAUCCCGAGGCUCAACCUCGGGUCUGCAGUCGAUACGGGCAAACUUGAGUGUUGCAGGGGAGACUGGAAUUCCUGGUGUAGCGGUGAAAUGCGCAGAUAUCAGGAGGAACACCGGUGGCGAAGGCGGGUCUCUGGGCAACAACUGACGCUGAGGAGCGAAAGCGUGGGGAGCGAACAGG
rnacentral:rRNA from 1 species